UUUCCGUAGGUGAACCUGCGGAAGGAUCAUUACUGAGUGAGGGCCCUCUGGGUCCAACCUCCCACCCGUGUUUAUUAUACCUUGUUGCUUCGGUGAGCCCGCCUCACGGCCGCCGGGGGGCAUCUGCCCCCGGGCCCGCGCCCACCGAAGACACCUAGAACUCUGUAUGAAGAUUGCAGUCUGAGCAAAAACUAAAUAAGUUAAAACUUUCAACAACGGAUCUCUUGGUUCCGGCAUCGAUGAAGACGCAGC
rnacentral:misc_RNA from 1 species